GUACAUGGCCAUGCCAUCGUGAACAUGCUCAAUCUCAUCUAGUCUUGGAAGACAAGCAGGGUCAGGCCUGCUUAAUGCUAGGAUGGGAGGAGGGAAAGGAAUGCUUAUGUCAG
ensembl:rRNA 5S_rRNA 5S ribosomal RNA